rnacentral:rRNA from 1 species
AGAGUUUGAUCCUGGCUCAGAACUAACGCUUGUGGUGUGUCUUAGUCAUGCGAGUCGAACGAGAACGUUUUCUUCGGAAAAUUAGUAAAGUGGCGAACGGGUGAGUAACACGUGGGUAAUCUGCCCUUGGGUUGGGAACAACACUUCUAACGAAGUGCUAAUACCGAAUGACAAGUUGUGACAUAAGUUGCAAUUUUAAAGGUGGCCUCUACUUGUAAGCUGCCGCCUGAGGAUGAGCCCGCGCCGUAUUAGCUUGUUGGUAGGGUAACGGCCUACCAAGGCAACGAUGCGUAGCCGGCCUGAGAGGGUGAACGGCCACACUGGAACUGAGACAAGGUCCAGUCUUCUACGGAAGCCAGCAGUCUAGAAAUUUGCACAAUCGUCGAAAGACGGAUGCAGCGACACCACGUGGAGGAUGACGCCCUUCGGGGUGUAAACUCCUGUCAGUUGGGACGAAGGCGCAGGCGUUAAUACCGCUUGUUGCUUGACGGUACCAUCAGAGGAAGCUCCGGCAAACUACGUGCCAGCAGCCGCGGUAAUACGUAGGGAGCGAGCGUUGUUCGGAUUUACUGGGCGUAAAGAGCACGUAGGCGGGCAUGCAAGUCGGUUGUGAAAUCCUCUGGCUCAACCAGAGAACUGCAAUCGAAACUGUAUGCCUUGAGUCUAGCAGAGGAAAUCGGAAUCUUAGGUGUAGCGGUGAAAUGCUUAGAUAUCUAAGAGAACACCAGUGGCGAAGGCGGAUUUCUGGGCUAGCACUGACGCUGAGGUGCGAAAGCUGAGGGAGCGAACAGGAUUAGAUACCCUGGUAGUCUCAGCCGUAAACGAUGGGUACUAGGUGUUGGGGGACAUUGACCCCCUCAGUGCCGUAGCUAACGCAUUAAGUACCCCGC